rnacentral:lncRNA from 1 species
AAUGCCGGACAUUUAAGCACAAUUUCCUGAUUAAUUCUAGCACAAUAAACUAAGUGAAAUCAAUAAAAUAUCGACUCAUCACCCCCCAUAAUCGAUUAUUAGACACUUCUUUGCCCCCAAAUACUACUGAAAUCAAAUCUAGAGCUCAAAUCCUCUCCAUUUCUCUUCACCUUCUCAAAACUUCAUUUCCUUGAAAUUCCUCCAUGGCUGAUUCAAGAAGGCAUCAUCGCAGAGCUACUGGAGCUUCCUCUUCCUCUCAACCACGUCCUGCCACCAU